rnacentral:rRNA from 1 species
AACGAACGCUAGCGGCAGGCUUAACACAUGCAAGUCGAGCGCCCCGCAAGGGGAGCGGCAGACGGGUGAGUAACGCGUGGGAAUCUACCCAUCUCUACGGAAUAACGCAUGGAAACGUGUGCUAAUACCGUAUACGUCCUUCGGGAGAAAGAUUAUCGGAGAUGGAUGAGCCCGCGUUGGAUUAGCUAGUUGGUGGGGUAAAGGCCUACCAAGGCGACGAUCCAUAGCUGGUCUGAGAGGAUGAUCAGCCACACUGGGACUGAGACACGGCCCAGACGCCUACGGGAGGCAGCAGUGGGGAAUAUUGGACAAUGGGCGCAAGCCUGAUCCAGCCAUGCCGCGUGAGUGAUGAAGGCCCUAGGGUUGUAAAGCUCCUUCACCGGUGAAGAUAAUGACGGUAACCGGAGAAGAAGCCCCGGCUAACUUCGUGCCAGCCGCCGCCGUAACAC